UACAGAGGGUGCAAACGUUGUUCGGAAUCACUGGGCAUAAAGCGUACGUAGGCGGCCUCGUAAGUGUCGGAUGAAAUCCCACGGCUUACCCGUGGAACGGUCCGGCAUACUGCGGUGCUAGAGGAUGGUAGAGGAGAGCGGAACUCUUGGUGGAGCGGUGAAAUGCGUAGAUAUCAGGAGGAACACCGGUGGCGAAGGCGGGUCUCUGGACAGUUCCUGACGCUGAGGCACGAAGGCCAGGGGAGCAAACGGG
rnacentral:rRNA from 1 species